UUGAAUAUGCUCACUGCAACUUUAGCAAGUUGAAGGCCUAGCAUCCAUGAGAGGAGAACAGAGUCAAAGGCUUUCUUAUAGUCUAGCCACAUUGAAACUAGGAUCUUCCUAUGCUCUUGCACCUCUGACAAAACACAUCUGCUUCUAUACUCAAUA